GAUGAACGCUGGCGGCGUGCCUAAUACAUGCAAGUCGAGCGAACAGACGCUGCGCUUGCUCCUCUCACGUUAGCCGCGGGCGGGUGAGUAACACGUGGAUACCCUCCCUAUCAGACUGGGAUCACUUCGGGAAACCGGCUCUAAUCCCGUAUAAUCUAUUGAACCGCAUGGUUCAAUAGUAAAUGUCGGCUUUUCUGUCACUUCUAGAUGCAUCCGGGCUGCAUUGGCUAGUUGGUAAGGUAACGGCUUACCAAGGCAACGAUGCGUAGCCGAACGGCGAGAGGGGUCGGCGGCAUGAGAGCGGGAACGCGGUCAAGACGACUAAGAGAGGCAGCAGUAGGGAAUCGGACGCAGAGGGCGAAAGCAUGACGGAGCAACGCCGCGUGAGUGAUGAAGGUCUUCGGAUCGUAAAAAUCUGUUAUUAGGGAAGAACAAAUGUGGAAGGAACUAUGCACGGAGUGACGGUACCUAAUCAGAAAGCCACGGCUAACUACGUG
rnacentral:rRNA from 1 species